CAGAAGCUUAGUGCACUUUGUAGUAUUGGCAUAAGCCAUUGGCUCUAGGCAGUGGGUUACUCUUGCUAAUCUGAAAUAGGUGGUUAACAGGCUGUUUCAGUUGAGCUGUCUCUGACCAAGAGGGUAUCCUGUUCAUCCUGUGGAAGAGUACAAACUCCACCCCUGGAUACGGAGAAUGGUGCUACAGUAUGAGUAUGGACAAGCAUAUUGCCUUCUGCCCAUAGCACAGCUCCUGUGUGUCUCAAAGAGAGCUUCCCUGAAUGAGCAAAGGCAAAGCCUCACCUUUGCUGCAGAAGGUUCAGCGCUUGGAAGAAGUGGAACAAAAUACAACAGAAAUCCUUAGGUGUGAUUUCCUCUUGGUAAAAAAACAACUGAAAUGAACUGAAAUUCAGCUCCUCCAUUUACAUGAUGAAACAAAGUAAGAACUAGGCAACGUAGACUAACAAGUACAUGGCUGAAUCUGGAAGGAACAGAAGAUAAAAGAGACCUCUGCAAGUCAGAACCCACCAUAGACAAAAUUCUGGAGCAAAGAUCAGCUACAUCAGACCUCCAGAUUUUGGCAACCAUGACACGAAAAGAACUGUGUGGGACUGGGAUUAGAAGAGGUUGUUGUGCCACAAGAGAAGUCAUGAGUGUCUUGAGGAAAUGUCAAGCUCCUUGGUGGUAACCGGAUUCACCAAUUCUGCUGGAACAUGAUUUUCUCUGCCGUAUCUGUCAAAAACCAAAUUGCUUAAGGAAGGUGAGAAGGGAAUUUGCAUUCCCAAAGUUCAAUCAAAGAAAAGAGCUCUGCGCAUGCUGCCUCCUUAGCCUGGCAUUGGAUUGUGGACCGAGUACCAGCAGAGCCCAGGUUUGUUCGGGGGAGCUGUGACUGAUUAUCAACAAUGAUGGACCUGAUUACUCCUACAGCCUGAGGAGACCUGCAAGGGGAUUGACACUGGAGGACAGAAAAUGCUCGUGGCACAGAGCAACGUGUUUGCAUGAGACAACACUUUCAGCAAACUUCAGCACCAGGGUCUGCUUUGUCAUGCUGUUGGAUUUCAGUUGCUGUGGAUGAACCAGUGAUCACUGCCACCAUUUUUCACAGUCUGGGGAGGAUAAGGCCUGAUGACUGAAGACAAGGAAGUUGAAAAAGGAAGCAACUACUUGGUCCUGUCUUAAUUCUGAAAACUUUGCUGAUAUUUGUGUUCCUACACCAUGUACUCCAUGUGUAUGCUGGCAUGGUUCUUGUUGAUGCUCAGACUAAUAUUAAUCAAUACAGUCGAUUGUUGUGUGUCUGAACAUAU